rnacentral:rRNA from 1 species
GAGUUUGAUCGUGGCUCAGAUUGAACGCUGGCGGCAGGCCUAACACAUGCAAGUCGAGCGGUAGAGAGAAGCUUGCUUCUCUUGAGAGCGGCGGACGGGUGAGUAAUGCCUAGGAAUCUGCCUGGUAGUGGGGGAUAACGCUCGGAAACGGACGCUAAUACCGCAUACGUCCUACGGGAGAAAGCAGGGGACCUUCGGGCCUUGCGCUAUCAGAUGAGCCUAGGUCGGAUUAGCUAGUUGGUGAGGUAAUGGCUCACCAAGGCGACGAUCCGUAACUGGUCUGAGAGGAUGAUCAGUCACACUGGAACUGAGACACGGUCCAGACUCCUACGGGAGGCAGCAGUGGGGAGUAUUGGACAAUGGGCGAAAGCCUGAUCCAGCCAUGCCGCGUGUGUGAAGAAGGUCUUCGGAUUGUAAAGCACUUUAAGUUGGGAGGAAGGGCAGUAAAUUAAUACUUUGCUGUUUUGACGUUACCGACAGAAUAAGCACCGGCUAACUCUGUGCCAGCCGCCG